rnacentral:rRNA from 1 species
AGGACGAACGCUGGCGGCGUGCCUAACACAUGCAAGUCGAACGGGACCAGGGGCAACUCUGGUUCAGUGGCGGACGGGUGCGUAACACGUGAGGAACAUGACCUUCGGCGGGGGAUAGCCGGCCCAACGGCCGGGUAAUACCGCGUACGACCACAUGGGGACGUCCCUGAGUGGUGAAAGCAGCAAUGCGCCGAUGGAGUGCCUCGCGGCCUAUCAGCUAGUUGGUGAGGUAACGGCUCACCAAGGCGACGACGGUAGCUGGUCUGAGAGGAUGGCCAGCCACAGUUGGGACUGAGACACGGCCCAGACUCCUACGGGGAGCAG